rnacentral:rRNA from 1 species
UACGAAGGGGGCUAGCGUUGCUCGGAAUCACUGGGCGUAAAGGGUGCGUAGGCGGGUCUUUAAGUCAGGGGUGAAAUCCUGGAGCUCAACUCCAGAACUGCCUUUGAUACUGAGGAUCUUGAGUUCGGGAGAGGUGAGUGGAACUGCGAGUGUAGAGGUGAAAUUCGUAGAUAUUCGCAAGGAACACCAGUGGCGAAGGCGGCUCACUGGCCCGGUACUGACGCUGAGGUGCGAAAGCGGUGGGGAGCAAACAGGG